GUCACUGGAUGGUAACCAGCAGAAUGGGGGCUCCCUGGGCUGUGUAGAGCCUGGGAAAGGGCACUGGUUCUCAUACCAUGUCUCAGGGCAUCUCUAGGGAUAGAAGCAGGGAGGGGCCGUGCACUGGGAGUUCCAGAAGCCAACUGCACCCAUCGAGCACCCUCCUGGUACUCAGCAAGCCCCAACCCUGACCUCCAGCCAUCUUCAGAGAUGAAUGGGUGCUGGGGCAGUCUCCGGCUGGACUUCCUUCACAUACAGGAGUCUUCCUACAGCACCUGAGACCCAGUGCCAGGCUAGCUGAAGUCCCAACAGGUUCUCCCCAAGGAAGACCUCUGUGAGAAGCCAUGCAGGCAGUCCCGGCUGCACAGUGGGCGGCUACAUAGCUCACACUGGAGACCUUUCUACAGAGGAAGGAUUCUCGAGGUAGCGGGACAGCAGAGAAGACAACAUGACCUUGGGAGGCCUCUGACUCUCCUGCCUACCCCAGGGACCCCCUUCCCCAGUUAACGCUAUGCCCUGUGCAGAGGGGAAGCAGUUCUGGGCUGGCACUGGCCUGUCAGGGCUGGAGACUCUGUAAGAAGCAGUGAUAAAGGUCUAUACUGUA